UACAGAGGUCUCAAGCGUUGUUCGGAUUUAUUGGGCGUAAAGAGCGUGUAGGCGGCCUGGCAAGUCCGCUGUGAAAACUCGAGGCUUAACCUCGAGACGUCGGUGGAAACUGCCUGGCUAGAGUCCGGAAGAGGAGAGUGGAAUUCCUGGUGUAGCGGUGAAAUGCGCAGAUAUCAGGAAGAACACCCGUGGCUAAGGCGGCUCUCUAGUACGGUACUGACGCUGAGACGCGAAAGCGUGGGUAGCGAACAGG
rnacentral:rRNA from 1 species